ensembl:lincRNA 1010001N08Rik RIKEN cDNA 1010001N08 gene
UCUUAGCGGGCCAAGGACUGGAAAUGAACACUGGCGGGGUUAUCAGUGCCGAUCUGUCAGCAGCAAGUCGCGCACUGCUUGUCCCAGGCAGCAGCAGUGAUAUACGUCUUAUUCCUUUGAGCUCACAAAAGGGAUUUCUUUCGACAAGCUGGACAUUGGAAGAAGGCUGCGAGAAGGGAAUUGAACAUGAGAAACACUCUUGUGGGAGUGGAUUCUUACAGGAACACCCCAGUCACUGUGGCUUCAGCGUGGCUGCAUUUAUGAAAGGCUGGAAGUAGAAAACUCUGGAAUGGAGAGACUAGCAGCUGGAACAGGAUUCAAAGGCUUUAAAUUUUAACCCGAGUUCGAUCGAAAGUUACUACCACAAGAGACUGGCACGGGCCGGCCCAAUUCCCACCACGGCUUCCAGCGGCUUGCUUUGGGUUGUCCGGUAAGUUCCAACCAAAUUUUUAAGCGGGUUGGGUUCUGCGAAGUUCAUUUGUAAGCAAUUCAUUAAAGCUUCGGACAUCGCUUUUUCAUUUGAGUCCAAUUUUCCGAAAUAAUGUCUCCAGUUUGCUCUUAAAAGCAAUUUUUACAGUUCGUAUUUGCUAAUAAAAUAAUAAAUGACUUGGCUAACUAAAUUUGGCGUCCUGGCUGUGAACGACCUUCAAGGUUGAGGAACAUCGAGCUCCGACGCGAGCCUAGUUCCAGUCCUGUGGGGGGGGGGUGGCUUUGUUUUGUUUUGUUGUUCGAGGGGUUAUCCUGUGUAAAUUUCCUGGAACAAUAGCAAACCCCUACUGCUCUGCUUUCCUGAAGCUAGGCGUCGAAGACUAGAGAACACACUGACCCUGGCGCCUCUGGGACAGAGGUGAGGAGUUCGACCCAAACGAACAGAUUCGACAACAUUCGGACUCUAGAGGCUGGGGAAGAAACCCAUAAUUUUACCGUCCUCAUUCCCAAUCAUUUUAGUAGUGCCUCCAACCACAAGAAAACCGAUAGAUCAUUGUUUUUCCUUUCAGGGCUCAAAAUUCACCUUUUAAACUUUUUUUAAAGACUAGCUUUCCGAAAGAGGAAUAGGUUAGAGAAAUAUUUUUUUUCCAUCUCAGUUAAUGUAAAAAUAAAACCUGUCCGGUUGACUAAGACAAAAACCUAGACUGCUUGCAGACUCUAAUUUGUUUUGGGUUUUUUUCUGGACUCACGGACUCUGGCGAUGACACCCCAGCCUAGCAAGCAAAGGCACAUUUCAAAGCCCUCCCCUAUCGGCCUCAGGCUGGACUCUCCAGGGAAAUGGAAGCCAGCAGAAUCCGGGGUGCGGAGGGGAAGGUGGCACACCAACCUAGGGGAACCCCAAAAUGAAGAUGGUCCCCAUCAUGCCCCAAAUAACUCCUGGAAGUUUCUUUCUUAGUGUUUUUCUUCUGUUUUGUUUCUUUCUUUUCAACUCCUUUUCUCUUGUCCCCUCCUGUCUUUCCCAAGCUGGCUUUGCUAGUCUUGACUGGAAUCGUUUUGCUCAGAACCAUUUAGACCCAAGGAGCAGACCCUCCGAAAGAAAGCUGACUCUAGGGCACUGCCUGUUCCCCUAUGCUCAUUUAUUUGGUCCGGACCAAACCACCACUUGCCUUUCAAAUCUAGCCGGAACACAGCAGCCAAUAGGGCAGGGGGCGGGGGCUCUGUAGCUAAAACGGAAGAGGUGUUUGGGGACUCGAUGGCGCGCGGCUUCCGGGGGGCACCACAGAUCCGGGCCUGGAUGUGUAUCGCUAUACAUCUUUGGCCUUGCAAACUCAAGCUCAUUACCUGUCAUUUCACGAAGCUUCUACCUGCUCGAACAUUGAUUCAAAAGUGGGGCAAGGGGUGUUGAUACAUACACAUACAAUUUCUGUGUUAAUAAACAUGGUUCGAACUUUAGCUUUUAAAAAUUACGGUAAAGCUAUAACUCACUGGUGAAUUGCUUAAUGUUCAAGGAUGUGGGUUCGAUUCUCACGCACUAC